rnacentral:rRNA from 1 species
CCUACGGGAGGCAGCAGUGGGGAAUAUUGGACAAUGGGGGGAACCCUGAUCCAGCGACGCCGCGUGAAUGAAGAAGUAUUUCGGUAUGUAAAGCUCUAUCAGCAGUGAAGAAAGAAAUGACGGUACCUGACUAAGAAGCCACGGCUAACUACGUGCCAGCAGCCGCGGUAAUACGUAGGGGGCAAGCGUUAUCCGGAUUUACUGGGUGUAAAGGGCGCGUAGACGGCGAUGCAAGUCAGACGUGAAAUGCGAGGGCCCAACCCUCGGACUGCUUUGGAAACUGUCUUGCUUGAGUGCAGGAGAGGCAAUUGGAAUUCCGAGUGUAGAGGUGAAAUGCGUAGAUAUAAGGAGGAACACCAGUGGCGAAGGCGGCUUACUGGACUGUAACUGACGCUGAGGCUCGAAAGCGUGGGGAGCAAACAGGAUUAGAUACCCGAGUAGUC